GCCCCAUUUAGAAGCCUGCUGAGUUGCUGUAGGGGUGUGAGUGAAAACAGGCCACCUUCCCGAGAUCACGGCCUGGCGUCGGAGCAAAGGGGUUGUGCACUUGGCCGCCCCUCCUCUGUGGCUCACCUGGAGAGUCCCCGCACCAGCACCAGCUCCAGCUCCUCUGAUGGAAUUUUCCCGGGCAGGGGGAAGACUGACAAGCAGCCACACCCUGGGAGGCUCCUAGGAGUGUUGGGGUGGGGGGUUGCACAUCCUCUCUUUAUCUUCAAAGCCGAGGUUCAGGAAGGGAAAUGGCAGCACUUCCCAGAAUUCAGGCUGAAGCAAAACACAGAGGACGCAUCACACAGGCACUUCAUGCAGGAGGCGGGAAGACGCGGUCGCCAGGGGUCGCUGAGGAAGUUGCUUGUCACCGAAGGGGGUGGGGGAUGGGAGUGGGUAUCGGAGGAGCAUCUCCUGUCUGGCAACGCAGUGCAUGGAUGUCAUCACAGUUGCCUGGGAAAAUGGUGACCAAAGCAAUGUCAUGCUCAUCUGAUUAGCCGUGAAGGCUUAAUUGUUUCUUAAAUGUUUGCUGGAAAUGAAUACUUGAGUGAAGAAGGAGUGGAGAACGUGCAGCACAGACCAUGAAAUCAUUUCCACGCCGACUGCUGAGCAUCCAGUGUUCUUUCCCUUGAAGAGCUCACGUUAACCUGGGAUUUGUUUUCUCGUUGUCGUAUGCAAUACUGAGUUUGUUCAAACUCUCAGAACCUCUUCCGCACAGGCCUGCGAGCCACUUGUCUCCAACGGCUGACCCACCUGUCUCCGUCAAGCAGCUGCUUGACCAGGUUGCACUCAGGAAGGGGCCUCUGGGUUGAAGAGAUGCAGAGGUGGAAGUAGCAUCCUAUUCACCAGGGGCAGAUCAACACUGAGGUGGACAUUUGCUUCCCCACCCGAACCAGCGAUAGCUAUGCAGACCGACGGGGGGGCUGCCCUGGUCGCUUCUGACCGUCACUCUGUUCACUUUGCCUAGAAUGGGCAGAAGGGCCAGGCUCAGGUUAGGCUUCGGCAUCUGGUGUUUUUGAUCAACAUAGUAUGCAACCAUUCAAACCAUUCUAUAACAUUAGGUAUUUUAAAGAGUGGGAAAUCUGCAUUUUGGGUUCUUUAAACAGAGAUAUGUAAUUCUGGAGAACUGUGGACAUCAGGGCUGGCCUAUUUUGGAUUGUAUUAUAUUUCAGUGAUAAUAAUCAGUAAACUCUAUAAAGAGAAAUACAGGCCAGUGUGUGCCCAAAAGGUAAUGUGGAAAUUGACUGACUGCAAGUUAAAUCAGGGAUCACUUGUGUAUUGUUUACCCACCAGAUCCCAAAGAAACACUACUGUGGGGUUUAUAAAAUAGAAAUCUCUUGUGUUACAUUAUACAAGAUGAGGCUUAGGGUGAACAUUUGAAAGAUUAAGAAACUGGAGCUAUUUUCUGCUGUAUUUGAAUUUCUAAAUGGCACAUUCUUAAGAGUAUAAUUCGUAUAUCCAUGAUGUAUAUUACAUUUGUAUUCCCCAGCUUCUUUUGAAAUUAAAGAAAAAGAAUAAUCUCUCAGAAGAGCCAGAGCCGGGGGGCCUUCACGAUCAGACUGUCCAGCACUGUGUGGCUUGCCUACACCAGGGGUUUCCAAAAGCCAAGUCUUGGGCUAGAGCCAGGUUCCUGCAGUGCAUUGCAUCACCUCUCAAGCUCAUUACCAGGCAGACUGCCAGGCCCCAUCCCAGGAGGUUCUGAGUCAGCCAAGCCGGUUUGGGAACCCCUGCACUCAAGACACUCCCUGAGACGUGACGUUCAAGGAGCCGGGGAGGCCAGGCUGGUCUCUGCCCUUCAUGACAAAGAAUGCUCAGAGAGGGGAUGGACAUGGCACUGGGGCCAUCUGCUCUGGGACAGGGUCUCUGGGUUAUCAACGACUUCGUCACCAAUAGUGAUUCAAAUCUUUCAAUUCAUAGACAACCUCCUCUUAUCAACUGCAAACCUACAGCUUCAGCCAUCCUGAUUUCACUCAUUUCUAGCGUACAUAUUGACUGAGUGCCUAUCGAAAAUAAAGCAGUUACUUCUGCAUAUAAGUCCA
rnacentral:lncRNA from 1 species